GAAAGAGAGAGGGGCACAGCUGGAAUGACCCAAGACAGGGUCAGACAGAGAGGGAUUUCUUCACAAGGAGGUCCUGGUUGCAGGGCUCCUGCAGGGACCUGGAUUUAGUUAAACAAAUAUGCAGCCCUAGGAACAGAGCCCAGAAGGGGCAGCAGUUUAUCAGCGUCAUCUCUGGGAUCACCCCUGAGCUCCAAAGAGGAUCUCCGCCAACUUAAUUGGAACAUGUUUGAGCCAAAUCAUGAAUGAAGGCUCUGAAGGCAAGUCUACCUCUGGGCCAAUUGUGAACACUGUUGCAUAGCAAACUUCAAUCUACAGAAAAUUACGCUGCAAAGCAGUCACAGGACUUCUGGGUGCAACCUAAAAGAACAGGAGAAGCAAGUUCUGCAUGGCCUCUGGGGUUUCCACACAUGUUUAGUUGGCAGUGAUCAUCAUACCAUGUAAGAUGAAUCAUACUGGAUAAGAUCACCUGCCAUGCUGAAAAGACAGCAUGCAAGUCAGUCUCAGUCUAUGUACUGCAGUGAACAGAGCACCCUCCCUCUCCUCCCUGAAGUCUAACAGCAUGAAGUGGUUUUCUUUGUGUGUUCACUAUGGCACAAUCAUUGAGAGCCUCCUUCUGCCAGUGCUGUAUCCUUCUUGUGUGGUUCUGCAGCUACAGGAGACUCACACCAAUAGAGCUGCAAGGAGUGUAAGUGAAAGCAGAAUUUGGUCCAUAGUCUUGAAUAAAGAUUCAUACAAGAUGCAAUCAUCCAGGUGCUGUAUGCUAUGCACAAAUUUGUUAAAUCUUAUCAUAUGAGUUGCUGAUGCAACUAGUAAACUAAUUAAAACCAUUUUGGUUUAGGAA